rnacentral:rRNA from 1 species
GAUGAACGCUGGCGGCGUGCCUAAUACAUGCAAGUCGAGCGAACGGACGAGAAGCUUGCUUCUCUGAUGUUAGCGGCGGACGGGUGAGUAACACGUGGAUAACCUACCUAUAAGACUGGGAUAACUUCGGGAAACCGGAGCUAAUACCGGAUAAUAUUUUGAACCGCAUGGUUCAAAAGUGGAAGACGGUCUUGCUGUCACUUAUAGAUGGAUCCGCGCUGCAUUAGCUAGUUGGUAAGGUAACGGCUUACCAAGGCAACGAUGCAUAGCCGACCUGAGAGGGUGAUCGGCCACACUGGAACUGAGACACGGUCCAGACUCCUACGGGAGGCAGCAGUAGGGAAUCUUCCGCAAUGGGCGAAAGCCUGACGGAGCAACGCCGCGUGAGUGAUGAAGGUCUUCGGAGCGUAAAACUCUGUUAUUAGGGAAGAACAUAUGUGUAAGUAACUGUGCACAUCUUGACGGUACCUAAUCAGAAAGCCACGGCUAACUACGUG